AAUCAUGGUAAUUUUUCCCUAUUUUUGCCAGCUUGUAGGAAUGGGGUUUGAUCGAGCUCUUGUGCUGGAGGUGUUCUUUGCUUGCAACAAGAAUGAGGAGCUGGCAGCAAACUACCUCUUAGAUCAUAUGCACGAGUUUGAAGAAUGACAAUGGGAAUUGAGAAUUUCUAUAGCCCUCUUCUUGUGGAGAGUUGAAAUGAUGGUAACUUCUGGAGAGGAGAUGAAUGAUCAGAAAUGAAAUUAACUUAUCAUGCCUCAAUUCGACUCUUCUCAGUGUAUCUAUAUAACUCAUCGAAUUCUUGCUUUUUCAAUAGUCGCAUGGUUUCUGUGAUUCCUUAGUGGAAUAACUAUUCAAGAUUUCAUGGUAUACCCUUAUUAAAUUACCCGAGUUCUGAAUUCGCAGACAUUGUUAAAUGAUAUACAGCAUUCAUUACCUUUAUGACGUUAAAA